rnacentral:lncRNA from 1 species
AUGUAACUUUAAAAUCACAUUUCUCAGCUGCCUCUCGGAAGGGAGGAAUUCUGGGAAAUAACAUAAAGGAGCCACAGAAGGGUUAUACAUAUCAGCUAAUUCAAUCUGCCAAAGGGGGCAGUGGUGCUAGAGACAAGCCUCUGAAUCAAAAAGUGUCUAAUUCUUAACAACGAAGCAGUAUUGUCCUGGGUUCCACGCACGCUCAGCUACAGCCGGACCGUCCACGAUGCCACUGGGCAGAAUUCCCAGAGACUCAGCCAUAUUUAGGGAAGUCUACAGCUGUCAGUGUUACAGGUCACCACAAGAGCUGCAAUCUGAGACCAGGAACUGAACAGCACCCGAGGUUUGGAGGCAGGUGUACAGCUUUAUUUCUGAAGGGACUGGCUCGAAUCGCUCACCAAAGAGCUAGGCCUCGCUCCCUCUGUGAGCAGGAUUUUUAUUGGGUUGACAAGUAAGUGGGAAGUACAAAAUCAAGGCGCCCGCCGUUAGUUGACUGGACAGAAAGUUACACCGAGUUGCGCCUUCUGUUCAUACGGGAGGGAAACAGGGACAAAAGGUUACAUCAUUCCGGGGAAACAGAAACUUAAGAGCCAGGGGUUUACUGAAGGGCGGAAAGAGGCUUACUGAAGGGCAUGGGGCUCCUGUCUGGGAGCAAAUUUUUUUUCUGUUUUAGUGUGUUUAAAGUUCAUUGAUAUUUGUAGCCUGUAUUCCCACACUAUUUAUUUUGACUGCUUUAGGUCACAUCUGGACUCUUCCACUUGUAGUAUCAUCUCAGUGUUCAAAAGUUUCAGAUUUUUGAACAUUUCAGAUUUUGAAUUUUGGGGCUGGGGAUGUGCAGCUCUUCAUGAAUUCCUCUGCAUGAGUACACAUUUUGUUUAACUAUCCAUCA